GUCUAUGGCCAUGCCACCCUGAAUGUGCCCGAUCUCAUCUGAUCUCAGAAGCUAAGCAGGGUCGGGCCUGGUUAGUACUUGGAUGGGAAACCAUCUAGGAAUACCAGGUGCUGUAGGCA
rnacentral:rRNA from 1 species